UACGGAGGAGGCAAGCGUUAUCCGGAAUUAUUGGGCGUAAAGCGUCCGCAGGUGGCACUUCAAGUCUGUCGUCAAAGACUGGGGCUUAACCCUGGAAAGGCGGUGGAAACUGAAGCGCUAGAGUGCGGUAGGGGUAGAGGGGAAUUCCCCGGUGUAGCGGUGAAAUGCGUAGAGAUCGGGAAGAACAUCGGUGGCGAAAGCGCUCUACUGGACCGCAACUGACACUCAGGGACGAAAGCUAGGGGAGCGAAUGGG
rnacentral:rRNA from 1 species